GGAGGAUUGGUUGUUGAAGGCAGAUCUUCGAUAGUUUCUGUUAAAUUCAUACACAUUUUUCAUAGACAAUAAGUCACCUAUUUCACAGGUGUCCAGUGGCAAAAUUUGCAUGCAUGUUCAGGAAGAUGGAGAGAAAAACAACAUUGGGCAAUGAAUGUAGAUACGUUGGACUAUUGUCACGUUGUGCCAACAUACAAAUAUUGUCUGGGACUAGGUUAAAUUUGGGUUCCAGACUUAUAACACACGGUUCUAUUUAGGUUCCAGAUUAGUUACAGAAGGUUCUAUAAAGGUUCCAGAUUGUUUACACAAGGUUCUAUCGAGGAGGUUAUAUGAUAACCUCCUAGGUUCUAUUAAGGUUCCAGAUUGGUUUCACAAGGUUCUAUCAAGGUUUCAGAUUUGUUACAAUAGGUUCUAUCAAUGUUCUAGAUUGGUUACACAAGGUUCUAUUAAAGUUCCAGAUUGGUUUUUCAUAACGUUAUAUCAUAAUGUUCUUUGAUGUUCCCACAACAUUAAAUCACAACAUUCUCUCAAUGAAACAGAAACGUCCCAGGAACAUUUCCUGAACGUUUUUGUGUUUUAUGGGUACCUGUUUUAUAAUUUUUUUUUGAAAAUAUGACAACAAGCAAUAUAGGAAUCACUGCAAUCUUGUCCAGUCCAUAAUUAAAUUAAUACAUGUUUAGUUAAUUUAUGAUUUAAAAAAAUUUUGACCGGCACCGGCAAAAUUGCAAAUUUGCUAUUUGACCGGCACCGGCAAAAUUGCACAUUUGCUAUUUGCCCGGCACCGGCAAAAUAGAAAAUUUGCUUUUUAGCCGGCUCUGAUUAAAUUAUAUCUAACCGGAAUUAAAAUUUGAAAAUAAUAAUUAAAUAUAAAAAUUUUCUAUUUAAAAACUUUUGUUACUGUUCCUCAUAUAAACACUUAAACUUCUUAUCUAAAAAGAAUUUUCACUAUUAACACCAGAGCUUCUAGGGGCCUUGGGCAGCCCCAAGACCCCUCGCCAUAUGACUUACCCCCGGCCUUGAGUACACAUAAUUUUGGCCUAGCUACACCCCUGGCUAUUUAGAGCGUAUAUAAAGAGAAGAAAAAAAAACCCAUCUACAUAUGUAACAUAUGCACACAAGAUGAAGAUUCAAAGGAAGCCAGUGUAAUGUGUAGUUCCUGUUUUGAGUGGCAACAUUUAUCUUGUGCUAGACUAAACCACUUCCAAAGGCAUAGAAUUGGUUUUGUAACAAUUGCAAAUGUUAAAUCAUGUGUCCAUUUGAAAUUCAUAGCAAACAACUAUUAAUAUUGUCUGUCAUAUCUAUUUUAUGAUGUAGUUUUGCAUAACACUAUUUUUAUCACUG
rnacentral:lncRNA from 1 species